CCUACGGGGGGCAGCAGUAGGGAAUCUUUCACAAUGGGCGAAAGCCUGAUGGAGCAACGCCGCGUGCAGGAUGAAGGCCUUCGGGUUGUAAACUGCUUUUAUAAGCGAGAAAUAUGAUGGUAACUUAUGAAUAAGGAUCGGCUAACUACGUGCCAGCAGCCGCGGUCAUACGUAGGAUCCGAGCAUUAUCCGGAGUGACUGGGUGUAAAGAGUUGCGUAGGUGGCAUAAUAAGUAGCUAGUGAAAUCUGGUGGCGCAACCAUUCAGACUAUUAGCUAAACUGUUAAGCUCGAGACCGUUAGGGGUAACUGGAAUGUCUAGUGUAGGAGUGAAAUCCGUAGAUAUUAGAAGGAACACCAAUAGCGUAGGCAGGUUGCUGGGACGGUUCUGACACUAAGGCACGAAAGCGUAGGGAGCAAACGGGAUUAGAUACCCCAGUAGUC
rnacentral:rRNA from 1 species